AACGAACGCUGGCGGCAUGCCUAACACAUGCAAGUUGUGCGAGAACCGAAGGGCUUGCUCUUCGGGGAGAGCGGCGCACGGGUGAGUAACGCGUGGAUAACGUGCCCUCGGGUUGGGAAUAACUCGCCGAAAGGUGAGCUAAUACCGAAUGUGUUCCUAUAGGGUUCGCCUCUUAGGAAGAAAGCGGGGUUAAACCCGCGCCCAAGGAUCGGUCCGCGUUCCAUCAGCUAGUUGGUAGGGUAAUGGCCUACCAAGGCUACGACGGAUAGCUGGUCUGAGAGGAUGAUCAGCCACACUGGAACUGAGACACGGACCAGACUCCUACGGGAGGCAGCAGUGGGGAAUAUUGGUCAAUGGGCGAAAGCUUGAACCGGCAAUGCCGCGUGAGUGAUGAAGGCCUUCGGGUUGUAAAGCUCUGUCGGAGGGAACGAAUAAGUCGAUUAAUACUCGAUGAUGACGGUACCCUCAAAGGAAGCACCGGCUAACUCUGUGCCAGCAGCCGCGGUAAUAC
rnacentral:rRNA from 1 species